rnacentral:rRNA from 1 species
UCGAGGAUCAUUCGCAAUGGGCGCAAGCCUGACGAUGCGACGCUGCGUGGAGGAUGAAGGCCUUCGGGUUGUAAACUCCUGUCAUUCGGGAACAAUAAAACAGCCAUUAACACUGGUUGUAAUCGAUAGUACCGGAAGAGGAAGCCACGGCUAACUCUGUGCCAGCAGCCGCGGUAAUACAGAGGUGGCGAGCGUUGUUCGGAUUUACUGGGCGUAAAGGGUGCGUAGGUGGUUUCAUGUGUCGGGCGUUAAAGCCCACUGCUCAACGGUGGAAGGCCGUCCGAAACUAUGAGACUAGAGUGCAGGAGAGGAGAGCGGAAUUCUUGGUGUAGCGGUGGAAUGCGUUGAUAUCAAGAAGAACACCAGUGGCGUAGGCGGCUCUCUGGAAUGUUACUGACACUGAGGCACGAAAGUUGGGGGAGCAAACAGG